CGCUUCUCGUGUUCAUAUCCCAUAGCUAGCCGUCAAAAAAACUUUCAGCAUCUGGUAACCGAAAAGCUCAAAAUCUGGGAGAAACAUUUGCAUUUGUGAACCACACAUUCUGAGUAGAAUUAUUUCAAGUAUUUAAGAGCCAGAGGUUAAUUCUGAACAGAAUUAAAUGUGCACAUUUUCUGAAGGACACUCAUUAAGUUCUAUGCUCUAUGUUUCCAAGAAGUGAGCGCCUAAGAAAUUAAUGGGGCAAAAACCAUCAGGCAUAAAAGAAAAUGGCAAUAUUUUCAUUUUUUCUGUGUCCCUAAAGAUUUUUUUUUUUUAUAUAGUUGGACUCUACUUAAUUACUAAUCAAUCACCCCUAAUAGGAGAGUCCUAAAUGACCUAGACUAAAAGUUUUAGAUUUAAAACAUGCAAAUACAAAAGAAUGCUGUACACUUUGGCUGGGUGCUUAGCAGAUGUAAUUAGCUGGUCAUCCAA
rnacentral:lncRNA from 1 species